UAACUCAANUAAUACGUGACUANCCCCUGAAUUUAAGCAUAUUAAUAAGCGGAGGAAAAGAAACUAACCAGG
rnacentral:rRNA from 1 species